rnacentral:rRNA from 1 species
AUUGAACGCUGGCGGCAGGCCUAACACAUGCAAGUCGAACGCGUGGCGGACGGGUGAGUAAUGUCUGGGAAACUGCCUGAUGGAGGGGGAUAACUACUGGAAACGGUAGCUAAUACCGCAUACCAUCGGAUGUGCCCAGAUGUGAUUAGCUAGGAGGUGGGGUAAAGGAUCACCAAGGCGACGAUCCCUAGCUGGUCUGAGAGGAUGACCAGCCAAACUGGAACGAGGACACGGUCCAGACUCCUACGGGAGGCAGUAGUGGGGAAUAUUGCACAAUGGGCGCAAGCCUGAUGCAGCCAUGCCGCGUGUAUGAAGAAGGCCUUCGGGUUGUAAAGUACUUUCAGCGGGGAGGCGUUACCCGCAGAAGAAGCACCGGCUAACUCCGUGCCAGCAGCCGCGGUAAUUC